rnacentral:rRNA from 1 species
AUUGAACGCUGGCGGCAUGCUUUACACAUGCAAGUCGAACGGUAACAGGGUGCUUGCACCGCUGACGAGUGGCGAACGGGUGAGUAAUGCGUCGGAACGUGCCGAGUAGUGGGGGAUAACGCAGCGAAAGUUGUGCUAAUACCGCAUACGUACUGAGGUAGAAAGUGGGGGACCUUCGGGCCUCACGCUAUUCGAGCGGCCGACGUCUGAUUAGCUAGUAGGUGGGGUAAAGGCUCACCUAGGCGACGAUCAGUAGCGGGUCUGAGAGGGUGAUCCGCCACACUGGGACUGAGACACGGCCCAGACUCCUACGGGAGCCAGCAGUGGGGAAUUUUGGACAAUGGGCGAAAGCCUGAUCCAGCCAUGCCGCGUGUCUGAAGAAGGCCUUCGGGUUGUAAAGGACUUUUGUCAGGGAGGAAAUCCCUAGUGCUAAUAACACUGGGGGAUGACAGUACCUGAAGAAUAAGCACCGGCUAACUACGUGCCAGCAGCCGCCGUAA